rnacentral:rRNA from 1 species
GCUCAAUGAAUUUAAAUAGCCGCAAUUAUAUUUGUGCUAAGGUAGCAUAAUCAUUUGUCUUUUAAUUAAAGACUAGAACGAAAGAUUUAACAUUUUAAUUUCUAUUUAAUAUAUUUCAUUUUCAAUUUAUCUUAAAUAUAAAAAGAUAUUUAUAAUUAAAAAAGACGACAAGACCCUAUUGAACUUCACUUUAGUUAAACUGGGGUAGUUAAUUAAUUAUAAUUUUAAUUAAAAUAAUAAAUAAAAUGACCUAAUUAAAUUAAAUAAAUGAUCAAGUUACCAUAGGGAUAACAGCGUAAUAAUUUUCUUAAGAUCUUAUUUAAAAAAUAAUUUACGACCUCGAUGUUGAAUUAAUUUUCUAAUAAUUGCAACCAAUUAUUUAAGAAAGUCUGUUCGACUUUUUAUAAAUUACGUGAUCUGAGUAANGAACCGG